GAUGAACGCUGGCGGCGUGCCUAAUACAUGCAAGUCGAACGAAAAGAUGCGGAGCUUGCUCCUCUGACGUUAGCGGCGGAGGGGUGAGUCACACGUGGAUAACCUACCUAUAAGACUGGGAUAAUUUCGGGAAACCGGAGCUAAUACCCGAUGAUAUAUUGCACCGCAUUGUUCAUUAGUUAGAGACGGUUUUUGUUUCACUAAUAGAUGAAUCCGCGCCGCAUUAGCUAGUUGGUAAGGUAACGGCUUACCAAGACAACGAUGGGUAUCCGACCUGAGAGGGUGAUCGGCCACACAGGAAGUGAGACAGGGCCCAGACUCAUACGGGAGGCACCAGUAGGGAAUCUUCCGCAAGGGGCGAAAGCCUGACGGAGUAACGCCGGGUGAGUGAUGAAGAUCUUCGGAUCGUAAAACUCUGAUAUUAGUGAGGAACAAAUGUGUAAGUAACUGUGCACGUAUUGACGGUACCUAAACAGAAAGCAACGGCUAACUACGUG
rnacentral:rRNA from 1 species